GGAGAGAUGGCUGAGCGGUUGAAGGCGACAGUCUUGAAAACUGUUGUAGAUGUAAGUCUACCGUGGGUUCGAAUCCCACUCUCUCCG
rnacentral:tRNA from 2 species